rnacentral:lncRNA from 1 species
GAGGGUCGUUGGGACUUUCCCUCUCAGAUACUUACUGGUUCAUUCAUUCGUUCAUUUUGCUUUAACUCACAGUGGCCCUCCCCAACCUAAGGUGCACUGCUGGGAUUGGUCUAUGUGCUGAUGAUGUUCUCCUUGUCUUCAGAGGAAAAACAAUGCCUGUGUUUUGAAGUUCCUUCUUGGGACGAAACCAGCUGAAGCUGGCGAAAUCCAAGAUGGCGCCUCUGACGAGCCUCUGGCUUUAUUAUCAUCCAGUUCUCAUGCUAAACAACACUCCCACCAGCGCCGUGACAAUUGACAGUCGCCAUGACAACGACUGGAAGAGACCAAGAAGGGACAGAAAAAAAGGGGUUCCUUGAUUCCGGGAAAAAUCUCCGUUCUUUCCCAAGAAAAGCAUGAAUAUUCCCCCCCGUGCUCUUAAUGCCCAGCCCCUUCAUUAAAGACACCCUACCUCUGUAACUUCCCAGCUCUCACCAGCUAAGUUGAUUUCAGAUCUUCCAAUUCCAGAGCCAUUGAAUAAAGCCUGCACUGCUUGACACACUCCCUUUCGGUUUCGUGCAUUGGCCUCACCACACAACAGGAAACAAUCCUUUUUGGGAUAACCGGGACUCCCGGUAACAUUUCCAUAUAUACAUAUCUUAAUGUAUGCAAGGG